rnacentral:tRNA from 1 species
AAGACACUAGUAAAGACGAAUAUUACAUUGCUUUGUCAAGGCAAAAUUGCGGGUUAAAACCCCGCGUGUCUUA